UCAAUUGGAGUGUGUGGGGAACUGAAUUUGAAUGUGGAGAAACGAAGAUGAUGGAGCGAAGACAGAAUCAAACUCCACAAGUUAUUGGCAAAUAAAUAUUGUAAAUUGAUUGGAAUUCAUUUUUGUGGGCGUGGAAAAGGUGCCUUUGAGAGGAGAAGGUAUAUGAAUGUGGUGAUUCAAAGGGCUCUCCAUCGUCAGCUUAGGGAAUGGUGGAGAGAGUAGCUGUUAUCUUCUUCAAUGCUGACAAUGUUCCAUUGGAGAAAUUUGUAUUCAAGCUUACAAUGAACCAAACUAAGUUCAGAGGUGGAAGAGGUUGAUCUUGAGUUCUGAUCAAACUGUCAAACUCAGAAUCUCUUUCUAAAGGGCUUCCUCCUGAUUGCAGGUGGGAGAUAACUGCUUACUUUUGAUCCCUUCCCAAGGCUGGUACAAGCAAGGAAGCAGACUUGUCGAUCCCAACUGACACAAAACCGGGGCAGCAGCCUCCACUUAUAACCCCUAUCAAGUCAAUGAGUAGUGAACCUCUGAAUUUGCAAUUGUACUUGGAGCAUCCAAGUUUAUUAGAAUCAUUGCUUUGAGAAGGGAACUCAAAGCCAUAGUACAUAUAUUAUACAUGUAUGAAAUAUCGCAUUAUCUCUAUACACAUGCAAUGGACAUGUUUUGUGGUUAGUGGUUGGAAAGCAUGUUCUCAGUCUCUGGAAUAUUAAAAGAACUAUUUACAAGCACUAGUGGCCUGGAAUGAAACUCUUCCCAAAUGAAAAAUUGCUUACUUUUUUUAUGUGAUUUUGGAGGUGGGGAAGAUAGAGAGGAUUAUAGUAUUGUAUUCUAUGGAUGGACAAUGUAAAAGCAUCAUGAUUAAUGGUGUGUUUUUAUUGGUCCAAAUGGUGUGGGUUGAACAUGCUGUAGAGCUUUCUUACUUUGGACUUCAUUGUCACAUCUCUUCCUCCAAUUGGCCCUAGCUACCUCAGCCACUUUUUCUUGCUUAUAAUGGUUGACAUUGUUGCA